rnacentral:lncRNA from 1 species
GUGAGCUCUGAGGAACUGCUAUUUGGGUCUGCGUUGAGUAGGUGUUAUCAGCAAGAAUAACCGCUUUGCAUUCUUGGAAACAAUUCAGCCUGGAAGUGCAGCAGAAUUUAUCAGGCAGGUUGCUGCUCAGAAGGGACACUUGAGAACAGCUACUCCCAAGAAAACCCCUUGAAACAACUGACAGCGAACUGAAACAGUGGCUUUUCCUGCACGGAGCUGCCACAUCUGUCAAGCACUGCAGCAUAUUGGGUUUUUUUUCAGCACAGCUAGAAAACCAAGUGCUCUCUGACUACGGAAAUUUCCUUUUUGUACAAUUAAAGGACUAAGCAUUUAUCCAGGGUUUAUCUGCUUGGUUUUAUCUGGG